UCGCGACCCAGGUCAGGCGGAMUACCCGCUGAGUUUA
rnacentral:rRNA from 1 species